rnacentral:ncRNA from 1 species
GAGGAAAAGAAACUUACAUGGAUUCCCCUAGUAAUGGCGAGUGAACCGAGAAGAGCCCAGCAUGAAAAUCGGGUGGCAGUGUCGCCUGAAUUGUAGUCUGUAGAAGUAUCCUUAGCAGCGGAUCGUGCCCAAGUCCCCUGGAAGGGGGUUCCUGAGAGGGUGAUAGCCCCAUCUGGCUGGGACCUUGGUGCACCACGAGGUGUUGUCGGCGAGUCGGGUUGUUUGGGAAUGCAUCCCUAAUCGGGUGGUAAAUUCCGUCCAAGGCUAAAUACAUGUGAGAGACUGAUAGCGAACAAGUACCACGAGGGAAAGAUGAAAAGGAAUUUGAAAAGGGAGUUAAAGAUUGCUUGAAAUUGCUGGGAGGGAAGUGGAUGGAGGUCGGCGAUGCGUCUCGGUCGGAUGUGGAACGACCCAAGCUGGUAUGUCGCUCGACUCGAGGUGCGAACCAGCGUAGGCCAUUCCAUCGACACAAGCGCGGGUGGAGUACUACCUAUUGGUUUGUCAUUAUGGUGGUCGAGGAACGAAGCAUGUGCCCUUGGCGCGGGCUACUGUGCACCUGCAUGCUCGUGGUGUUGGUUGGCGGGCUUUCCAUUUGACCCUUCUUGAAACAUGGACCAAGGUGUCUAACAUGUGUGCGAGUCGAUGGGUUUGUAAACCUGCGAGGCAUAAGGAAGGUGAUGAGAGAGAACCCCUCUCCAUGGGGUGCAUUGUCGACUGACCUUGAGCUUGUGCGAAGUGUUCGAGUGCGAGCACACCUGUUGGGACCUGAAAGAUGGUGAACUAUGCCUGAGCAGGGCGAAGCCAGAGGAAACUCUGGUGGAAUUUUUAG